rnacentral:rRNA from 1 species
CCCUUAGAUGUUCUGGGCCGCACGCGCGCUACACUGAUGAAUGCAACGAGCUCUACCCUUGACCGAAAGGCCCGGGUAAACUUGUGAAACUUCAUCGUGAUGGGGAUAGAUUAUUGCAAUUAUUAAUCUUCAACGAGGAAUUCCUAGUAAGCGCGAGUCAUCAGCUCGCGUUGAUUACGUCCCUGCCCUUUGUACACACCGCCCGUCGCUCCUACCGAUUGAAUGGUCCGGUGAAAUCUUCGGAUUGCUGACCAAGAUCCAGCAAUGGAGCUUGGUUGCGGGAAGUUGAUUAAACCUUAUUAUUUAGAGGAAGGAGAAGUCGUAACA